rnacentral:rRNA from 1 species
GAUGAACGCUGGCGGCGUGCUUAACACAUGCAAGUCGAACGAAGCAUUUAAGACAGAUUACUUCGGUUUGAAGUCUUUUAUGACUGAGUGGCGGACGGGUGAGUAACGCGUGGGUAACCUGCCUCAUACAGGGGGAUAGCAGCUGGAAACGGCUGGUAAUACCGCAUAAGCGCACAGUACCACAUGGUACAGUGUGAAAAACUCCGGUGGUAUGAGAUGGACCCGCGUCUGAUUAGCUUGUUGGCGGGGUAACGGCCCACCAAGGCGACGAUCCGUAGCCGACAUGAGAGGGUGACCGGCCACAUUGGGACUGAGACACGGCCCAGACUCCUACGGGAGGCAGCAGUGGGGAAUAUCGCACAAUGGAGGAAACUCUGAUGCAGCGACGCCGCGUGAGUGAAGAAGUAGUUCGCUAUGUAAAGCUCUAUCAGCAGGGAAGAUAGUGACGGUACCUGACUAAGAAGCUCCGGCUAAAUACGUG